GCAGCGAAUGCCACGGGUACUACAUGGUGUCGCGGGUUCGAACCCCGCCAGCCGCAAGGCUGUAGCUCAGCUGGUAGAGCAAAUGUGCCUGUUCCCUUGUCGCUGCCCG
rfam:Pseudomonas sp. ABAC61 scaffold528_001, whole genome shotgun sequence.